UUCAAAGUGACACACAAGAUUUUGCGAGAUGGGAGAGCUUCAUUCCUCAUCAUGUCCUUUCUGUUCAAAGGAGAAAAAAAGACAAAGAUGAUCCUGUUGGGGAAUCCCUUUCUGCAGAUCCUGAUGCCCUCCAGCACACCGUUACAGCGCAGCUGGUGCAUGACCAGAGGAUUCUCCAUCGCCCCUGGAGUCUUAGUCUCAUUGGGGAUGAUGCAGCGCACAAAGUGAGGGAUCCUGUUGGGGAAUCCCUUUCUGCAGAUCCUGAUGCCCUCCAGCACACCGUUACAGCGCAGCUGGUGCAUGACCAGAGGAUUCUCCAUCGCCCCUGGAGUCUUAGUCUCAUUGGGGAUGAUGCACCGCACAAAGUGAGGUCUCGCAGGUGACUUUAUCACCGUCCCGACUCACAAUGGUUCCUUUCACAUACUCCUCCUCAGGAUCAGGGACGAAGCAUUCUUUCUUCAUGUCGAAGGGUCGCGUUUGGGCCUCCAGUCGCUCCCUGUCAGAUUUCC